ACAAAGAAACACAAAGAGAGAACAAACAACAGCAGGCCUGCUGGUCCUUACGAGGCUGUUUGUGAUAAGCUACACUAACUAUCUAAUCAAAGGUGGAAGAUGAAGGACAGCAAAGGCGAAGGCCGUGGUGAGCAAAUCAGGGAAGUAAAGUAACGGAACAGGCCUUCCUGGCGAGCGUCGCAGGGCUCAGGGCUCCGGCAGGGCGCCUCGGCUCCCCCGGAGCGUCCACGGAGGUGUCGGAGAUCCCGAGGGUCCGGGGGUUGGGGGGGCUUGAAGUGGCAGCAAGACAUGCAGUUACUGACCUCUUAUUAGCCAGACGACGCGUUAAUGACACGUUCCAAUGGAAGGUUCGACGCAUGGGGAGGUACAAUUCCCCUAAGCAAGGCAAGUGUCAUGCCAACUACGAUAAAAAACGAAAAAUCCAAAAAAAAUCCAAAAAACAAAAAAUCCUAAAAAAAUUGUCUUGUUUUGCUUUGUUUAAAGCGUCUUGUAUGUUGGUAUGGCGGGUCUUCUCUGGGGAGAAGGAGACUAACGCGUUCCAACAUACAAAACCAGGAAAAGACGAUAUGGAAACACCGAGAGAAGGAAGGGGAAGAAGGGAACACCAGAAGAAGGAAAAUGAAGAGAAGUAACACUAGAAGAAGGCAUAUGAAGUAACACAAGAAGAAGGAAGUUGAAAAGAGUAACACAAGAAAAAGGAAUUUGAAAAGAGUAACACAAGAAGAGGGAAUUUGAAAAGAGUUACACAAGAAAAAGGAAUUUGAAAAGAGUUACACAGAAGAAGGUAUUGAAAAGAGUAACACAGAAGAAGAUAUUGAAAAGAGUAACACAGAAGAAGGUAUUGAAAAGAGUAACACAGAAGAAGGUAUUGAAAAGAGUAACACAGAAGAAGGUAUUGAAAAGAGUAACACAGAAGAAGGUAUUGAAAAGAGUUACACAGAAGAAGGUAUUGAAAAGAGUAACACAGAAGAAGGAAUUUGAAAAGAGUAACACAAGAAGAAGGAAUUUGAAGAUAAAUAACACAAGAAGAAGAAAUGUGAAGUAACACCGGAAGGAAAAUGCAGAGAAGUAACACUAGAAAAAUGAAAAUGGAAAUGAAAAGAAUCAUCCACCUUUCGGCCCAAACCAACAUCACAAAAUUAUGGGCGAGUCUCUUCUGGGAGGAAAGCGGCUCGUUCAGACCCAGGAACACCAGAAAGAA